rnacentral:piRNA from 1 species
UAGUAGUCUGAUUAGGAGAAAUCCCUAACG